rnacentral:rRNA from 1 species
AUUGAACGCUGGCGGCAUGCCUUACACAUGCAAGUCGAACGGCAGCACGGGUGCUUGCACCUGGUGGCGAGUGGCGAACGGGUGAGUAAUACAUCGGAACAUGUCCUGUAGUGGGGGAUAGCCCGGCGAAAGCCGGAUUAAUACCGCAUACGAUCUACGGAUGAAAGCGGGGGACCUUCGGGCCUCGCGCUAUAGGGUUGGCCGAUGGCUGAUUAGCUAGUUGGUGGGGUAAAGGCCUACCAAGGCGACGAUCAGUAGCUGGUCUGAGAGGACGGCCAGCCACACUGGGACUGAGACACGGCCCAGGCUCCUACGGGAGGCAGCAGUGGGGAAUUUUGGACAAUGGGCGAAAGCCUGAUCCAGCAAUGCCGCGUGUGUGAAGAAGGCCUUCGGGUUGUAAAGCACUUUUGUCCGGAAAGAAAUCCUUGGCCCUAAUACGGUCGGGGGAUGACGGUACCGGAAGAAUAAGCACCGGCUAACUACGUG